rnacentral:rRNA from 1 species
AACCUCCGCAAUGUGAGAAAUCGCGACGGGGGGAUCCCAAGUGCCAUUCUUAACGGGAUGGCUUUUCAUUAGUGUAAAGAGCUUUUGGAAUAAGAGCUGGGCAAGACCGGUGCCAGCCGCCGCGGUAACACCGGCAGCUCUAGUGGUAACAAUUUUUAUUGGGCCUAAAGCGUCCGUAGCCGGUUUAAUAAGUCUCUGGUGAAAUCCUGCAGCUUAACUGUGGGAAUUGCUGGAGAUACUAUUAGACUUGAGACCGGGAGAGGUUAGAGGUACUCCCAGGGUAGAGGUGAAAUUCUGUAAUCCUGGGAGGACCGCCUGUUGCGAAGGCGUCUAACUGGAACGGUUCUGACGGUGAGGGACGAAAGUUAGGGGCGCGAACCGGAUUAGAUACCCGGGUAGUCCUAACUGUAAACGAUGCGGACUUGGUGUUGGGUGGCUUUGAGCUGUCU